UACGGGGGGGGCAAGCGUUGUUCGGAAUUACUGGGCAUAAAGGGUGCGUAGGCGGCUUGUUAAGUCAGGGGUGAAAGUUUUCGGCCCAACCGGAAAAUUGCCUUUGAUACUGGCGAGCUGGAGUGCGUGAGGGGUGACCGGAACGAGUGGUGUAGCGGUGAAAUGCGUAGAUAUCACUCGGAAGGCCAACGGCGAAGGCAGGUCACUGGUGCGCAACUGACGCUGAGGCACGAAAGCGUGGGGAGCAAACAGG
rnacentral:rRNA from 1 species